rnacentral:rRNA from 1 species
GAUGAACGCUGGCGGCGUGCCUAAUACAUGCAAGUCGAGCGAACAGACGAGGAGCUUGCUCCUCUGACGUUAGCGGCGGACGGGUGAGUAACACGUGGAUAACCUACCUAUAAGACUGGGAUAACUUCGGGAAACCGGAGCUAAUACCGGAUAAUAUAUUGAACCGCAUGGUUCAAUAGUGAAAGACGGUUUUGCUGUCACUUAUAGAUGGAUCCGCGCCGCAUUAGCUAGUUGGUAAGGUAACGGCUUACCAAGGCAACGAUGCGUAGACGACCGGAGAGGGUGAUCGGCCACACUGGAACUGAGACACGGUCCAGACUCCUACGGGAGGCAGCAGUAGGGAAUCUUCCGCAAUGGGCGAAAGCCUGACGGAGCAACGCCGCGUGAGUGAUGAAGGUCUUCGGAUCGUAAAACUCUGUUAUUAGGGAAGAACAAAUGUGUCAGUAACUGUGCACGUCUUGACGGUAACUAAUCAGAAAGCAACGGCUAACUACGUG